GGACGAGCCUCUGGAGAGACUGUCUUAAGUGACAGCACCGAAGGAGCAAAGGAAUUUUAAUUCCCUAAACUCUCAGGUAAAAGAACAGAGAAUAUACA
rnacentral:ncRNA from 2 species